rnacentral:rRNA from 1 species
CAGUCGCCGCGGUAAUACGUAGGUGGCAAGCGUUGUCCGGAAUUAUUGGGCGUAAAGGGCUCGCAGGCGGUUUCUUAAGUCUGAUGUGAAAGCCCCCGGCUCAACCGGGGAGGGUCAUUGGAAGCUGGGAAACUUGAGUGCAGAAGAGGAGAGUGGAAUUCCACGUGUAGCGGUGAAAUGCGUAGAGAUGUGGAGGAACACCAGUGGCGAAGGCGACUCUCUGGUCUGUAACUGACGCUGAGGAGCGAAAGCGUGGGGAGCGAACAGGAUUAGAUACCCCAGUAGUCCCUGUCUCUUAUAC